UAUAUAUAUAUAUAUGUAUAUAUAUAUAUAUAUAUAUCUCCCCUCUCUCUUGGACCUCCUCCUCCUCCACCCACCCAGGUCACCCUGGAGCACUGAGCUGAGCUCCCUGCACCAUUCGGCCUAUUCCCACUAGCUCUCUGUUUUACACACAGCCCUUUUGCUCGCCCCUCAUUUUCCCAGCGUGUCCUGCACCGGAGGAACUGUCCCUGUCACCCCCAUGGAGGGGCUUUCUGGGAGGUCAUGCUCCCAAGGGCACCUCUGCCCUGUAGGAUUGACUGAAGCUGCUCCGUGUCCUCCUGGCUUCUAUUCCUCUGGCACCCGCCCCACAAAGUGUCACAUCUGUCCCAGCGGCCACUACUGUGCUCCCGGGCUGAGGCCACAGCUCUGUCCAAGAGGUCAGUGUCCUGCCAGCAGCCCAGCUGACUGAGCAAAGGGUCCAGAGUGAAAGGGAGGAGUGGGGGGCGGCCAUGACAGGCCUGUCAUCGCCCCCGGCUCCCCCAGACGAAGGGAGGGCUGUCUAUUCUGAUUACAAGGCAGCAGGAGCUCACCCCCCCCAAGCGUCCUCCCUGCCCGUCUCCUUGGGCUUUGGUCCCAGCCCUGCCCCUUCACAGGUUUCUACUGCCCUGAAGGAACAGAGCUCAGCUGGCAGCCCUGCCCCGCGGGCACCUACGGCCCUGUGCCCGGACUGAGCAGCCUGCAGGCGUGUCAAGCCUGUGACGGCGGCAGGUUUUGCCCCAGGGCCAACGCCACGGAGGCUGGCGGGCAGUGCUGGGAGGGCUUCUUCUGCUCCAGAGGAUCCACUCGGCCCAACCCGGAGGCCGGCACUGAAGGACACUUCUGCCCCCUGGGCACUGCAGCCCCCAGGCCCUGCCCAGCAGGCACCUACAAUGGCCAGGCUGCCCAGGACCAUUGCGAGCCUUGUCCUGAGGGGCUUCUACUGUCCCUUGCCUGGCCUGGCAUCCGUAUCUGGACCUUGCAGCGCAGGGUUCUACUGCACUCAGGGAGCAUCUGUCCCAAAUCCCAGCGAUGGGACCACAGGAGACCUCUGUCCUCUGGGCCACUUCUGCCCCCAGGGCAGCCCCAGGCCCACUCCGUGCCCCCCGGGGGCUGGGAAACGCUUCCCGGACGGGCCAUGCUCAGCAGGUUACUACUGUCCCCCUGGCCAGACCUCAGCCACCCCUUCAUCUUUCCGGUGCCCACCUGGCUUCUCCUGUCCAGAAGGUUCUCCCCAGCCAAGGGCUUGUGAGAAUGGAACCUUCCAGCCCCAGGAGGCCCAGGGGUCCUGUGAGCCCUGCCCCGCUGGGUUCUACUGCCAGGCCUCGGGCACAGGUCCCGCUGCCAGAGCGCCCAGACCAUGUAUCCAGGGUUACUUCUGCCCCCCCGGCUCCCACUCAGCCACUGCCCACCCGUGCCCUAGAGGGACUUUCGGGCCCAGGAGAGGGGCCGCUGCAGAGCUGGACUGUGAGCUGUGCCCAGCAGGGAUGUUCUGCUCCUCGGAAGGACUAUCUCGGCCGUCAGGGCUCUGCCACCCCACCCACUACUGCUCAGGGGGUGCGGUGUCCCCCACCCCCAUCCAGCACAAGGUACCUGAUGGGGUGCGGCCCCCAGACGGGCUCUGACCACCUGUGGCACCUGCGCAUGUUGGUCCACAGAGCCAGCCGGUUCCUGCUGAGCUGACGGCUCUCCCUGCAGGGCUGAAGCAACUGCGAGCCAGGCCCUCCCCACCAAUUGUCCCCAGGGCCUGGCUCCGGGCCUGCGGCUUAGUCGAGUGAUUCUAAGACAUAUGUCUUCUUCACCACUCACCAUCUCUAAACCAGCAGUAUUGGCAGUGAAACUUUUCCUUUCAAAUCGCUCACUUUCCAGCAAAUGGCAUCUGUUUGGUUUGAGACACGAGGCAAUAUCAGUGGGUCAUAUGUGCAGAGCUUUUACGUGUGCUGGCUGGCAGCACCCGUGCGUUACACACACGUUGACACAGCAGGCCUCACAGCAGCCCUGAGGGAGGCCCCAGGGUGACCCCAUUUAGGCAGGAAGAAGCUGAAGAGCACAUGGGGUAGUGGGCUUUCUCAAGGCCACAUGGCAACAAAGCAACCAUCACUGUGUUGGAUUAUUCUGCAGAGCAGGGCAAUGGAGAGGCUGUUGGUGAGUUGGGUGCACAGACCCAGUUGGGCAGACAGAUGGACAGAUGGGCUUGGUUGACUGGCUUUGAUUCUUGUUUUGUUACUGAGUGACUUCAUGACCCUGGGCACACAUGCCCCUUUAGAACAGAGACAUCCCCUUCUGGAAGUCACUGAGUCCAUGUGAAGGCCAAAGAAGAGAGCAGGCUGGGACAGAAAGGGAGGAGGGGAGGCCCUGCAGCGAUGCUGUGAUGUCCUCUGUGCUCCCCAAAGGUCGUAGCCGUUACGAUGGAAAGUGCCUGUCACCGGGGAGAUCUGAGACUCUUACAGCCUCUUGUCAGCUUCUCCCUCAGGAGCAGAGGAGUCUGCAGCUGGGACCACAGCCAGUACUGACACCCUUUCUUCUCUCUGGAUGCACAGGUGGAGGCCCCUGGCCUCUCUGGGAAUGACAUCUGCCCCCCUGGCUUCUUCUGCCCCCGCGGAACAGGCUUCCCAGUCCCCUGCUCACCAGGGUUUUACUCCUCGGCCCCAGGCCUGGCCAGUGAGCAGCAGUGCCAGCCGUGCCCUCCAGGGCGCUACUGCAGUCGCCCAGGGCUGUCCCACAUCCUCGAUGCAGGGGUCUGUGAUG
rnacentral:lncRNA from 1 species